AGGGCUGGGGCUCAGUGGUAGAGCACUCGCCUAGCACGCGUGUGAAGCUCUGGGUUAGAUUCUCAGCACCACAU
rnacentral:tRNA from 1 species